UGUAUUUCCUUCUUGUUCCAAGACGCACCAGCUCAUGCAUUCGCUCACACCCAGAGGGAGAGACAGCACAGGACUGCCACCUCCCAUGCAAAUCACCUCCAGGAGUGCAGCUGGGCUCCUCCCGCUGCUCCUGGGCAAUGCUCCUGGGUAGACCUUGUACAAGAUGCCAUCUCGGGCGCUGUGUAUUUUUCCUCAUUGUGGCUCUUUUGGUCGACGCUGUGGGCCUGGUCCUUUUGCUGCUGGGAAUCUUUGCUCCACUAAACUACUGGGACUUCUUUGUCUACACGGGAGCUCUGAUCCUAGCCCUGAGCCUACUGUUCUGGCUUGCCUGGUAUUCCUUCAAUAUCGAGGUCCCUCUUGAAAAGCUGGACUUUUAGGGGAGCCAUGGACAAGAGAGAAACAGGUGGCAUAUGCAGCUGUGAACCUGAGACCCUGGACAUGAAGCCCCCACACAGAACACCCCACUAAGACCAGCAUGGGUCUGUCUGGCACAGAAGAAUCAAAUCAAGGCGAGUGGUCUUUGCAGCUCACCCUCUGACAGUAUCCAAGAGGGACCCAGAUGCUGCGACGAUGAAGCGUUCACAUCACCCACCAGGAUAGCCACAAAUGACUGUGAAUACCAAGGCUCUCUCUGAAGCCCAGGCUCCCGGUGCCAAACCGCUGCUACUGCUGCCUCCACUCCAGAAGGUUGUGGAGGACCAAGAAGCCAUGAUGCUCCACCAGUGGGGCUUUUAUAGGAACCACUCCACUCCAGGCUUAGAUACCAAAGAAACCUCUGGCCAAAGUCUUUUCAAAGAACUGCCGACUGAAAUUAAGCACAGACAACCCAAUCGGGGUCUCCCAUGAGCACGCACCACACAGUAAUUUUGGCAUGUCCCUUUGACGUUCACUAGACUCCAAGGGCCUGGUUCCUCUUCACCCCACCACCCAGGGGAUAUACAGAGGCUGAUUCCAACAUGGAGACCACAUGAAUGCACAGGCAGCAGUGAGCACACAGACUGUCUUUACUGGGGAACAUGCUGGCACUGUUCACACAGGCCUAUCUAGGUGUAGAGCAUGGGGGCGGCUCACAUCGCACUCCAGGUCACCUGAAACCUCCAGGUACUUUCUCUGAUAAGCACAGUAAGACUCUGCUGUGCUGUCUGGGUGUUGUCCAUGACUUAAAGGAUAAAACUACAUUUCUAGUCCAAAUCACAUGUAGUCUACUGCAGCCUGGCCCCAGGAUCUACUGAAGACCAUCAUUCCAGGGGCAAUCACAAAGAUGUCAUCCAAGCUAACCUGUGCUACUAAUUUAUAUUCCCCAUGGUCUGAUUUUGUACUCGAUAUUUAUAUUAUGCACUGAAUGCACAUGUUUCCUUUAAGAUGUCUCGCAUCAUGUAUGGUAUGGGGUAUUUACCUACAGAAAGAAGUGGACGCAUUGCUAUGUGUGUGGCAUGA